rnacentral:tRNA from 1 species
GUCCCCUUCGUCUAGUGGUUAGGACACCGGGUUUUCAUCCCGGCAACGGGGGUUCAAUUCCCCCAGGGGAUG